rnacentral:rRNA from 1 species
UACGUAGGGUGCGAGCGUUAAUCGGAAUUACUGGGCGUAAAGCGUGCGCAGGCGGUUCGUUGUGUCGGCGGUGAAAGCCCCGGGCUUAACCUGGGAAUGGCCGUCGAAACUGGCGAACUGGAGUGUGGCAGAGGGGGGUGGAAUUCCGCGUGUAGCAGUGAAAUGCGUAGAGAUGCGGAGGAACACCGAUGGCGAAGGCAGCCCCCUGGGCUGACACUGACGCUCAGGCACGAAAGCCAGGGGAGCAAACGGG